rnacentral:rRNA from 1 species
AGUGAACGCUGGCGGUAGGCCUAACACAUGCAAGUCGAACGGCAGCACAGUAAGAGCUUGCUCUUACGGGUGGCGAGUGGCGGACGGGUGAGGAAUACAUCGGAAUCUACUUUUUCGUGGGGGAUAACGUAGGGAAACUUACGCUAAUACCGCAUACGACCUACGGGUGAAAGCAGGGGAUCUUCGGACCUUGCGCGAUUGAAUGAGCCGAUGUCGGAUUAGAUAGUUGGCGGGGUAAAGGCACACCAAGGCGACGAUCCGUAGCUGGUCUGAGAGGAUGAUCGGCCACACUGGAACUGAGACACGGUCCAGACUCCUACGGGAGGCAGCAGUGGGGAAUAUUGGACAAUGGGCGCAAGCCUGAUCCAGCCAUGCCGCGUGGGUGAAGAAGGCCUUCGGGUUGUAAAGCCCUUUUGUUGGGAAAGAAAAGCAGCAGAUGAAUACCCCGCUGUUCUGACGGUACCCAAAGAAUAAGCACCGGCUAACUUCGUG